rnacentral:lncRNA from 1 species
UACAAUGUAACAAUAGAAGCCUGAAUCUUAUGCAACCGGAUACUUUCCCUUUCAUGUGCAUUUGUCUCUGCAAGCCUGCUGGUUUGAGAACGGUACAUUAUGCCUGUAGACAUCACAAGUGAUUCUGUAAGCCCGUAAUUUGUCGACUAUACCACAUUGUUUUAUCAUUGAAGCAGUCCCUAAUCCUCCUGUCCUGUGUGUUUCAUACUCUGGCUGUUCCCCUGUCGGAAUGCAUCUUGAUUCCAGUGUGUGUCACGAAGUAUCGUGAGCAGAAUUCGUAGUCAAUAAUUGAAUUGAACAGCCUGCUAAUAUUCUGUAAACAUGAUCAGUAGUAAGUCUCUUGAAAUAAUUCCGAUGAAAGCCAACAGUGUAGUGCGACUAGCCAUAUACCGUCUGUCUUUUUAGUAAAAAUCGCAGUUAUUUCUAUAAUCUCCUAUCGUCAUUAAUCAGCUAGUUUACAUUCAA